AUUAAGGAAAGUAAAGGACCGAAGUAAAUACUCUGCUUUGUUUUAUUACUCUGUUUUUUCUGCAAAAGAUGCCGUACAUAGAUGCGAUGAGCGCGAGUUGUUUGGUAUACUUGAAGGGGCUCGGGACCACAAUGACCAAAUAUAUUUUUUUUUUGAAAAGGAAUACUAACUUUCAUUCAAACGAAAGAGUUGAAUACAUUUUAUAAUUUCGAUUGGAAAAGAACCCAACCAAACAACAGCUUCUAAGUGAUCAAAAGCUAAUCUAGCUAAUGAGUGGGCAAUUGCAUUACAAGAUCUUGGUGUAUAAUGGCAUUUAACAUUGCGGAGAUCCUUGAACUUGUUUUGAAUAUCUGAAAUAACCCAGAAAAUCUCAUUCUUGCUGCCCUUUCUGUUGUUAAUUAAAUCAGCCACCAUUUGCGAAUCAGUUUCGAUAAUUAAAGAGGUUAAUCCUGCAUCCCCAGCUGCUUGCAAACCCCAUCUUACUGCUUCAGCUUCUGCAUACGAUACAUUCCCAUGAAACCUUGAAGUCUUGACUGCAGCAGCUAUGAUAUUCCCCAUUGCAUCUCUAAUCACUGCUCCCAAUCCUGAUAAUUUUUUUUCCUUUCUUAUGGCUGCAUCAACGUUCACCUUGAACUAGCUUUGCGGUGGGGGAAGCCAAGCUUUGGCUGUUUUCUUCUCUUUGUCAGCUCCUUCACUGUAACAUAAUCCAUAAUUUCAUGGUAUAGGUUGUGUUAAAUUGGUGUUAAAAAUAAUAUAUAUUUCAUGAUUAAUCAUACAAUGAUCUUUAAUAAUAUACAAAAUAGUGAGCAUUAUGUUAAAUUUUAUUAAAGCAUGAAAAAGGUGAAGAAUGACAGAGGCAGCCGCAGACGGUGGACCUGAGGUGGCUUCGAGUUUUGCUAUUUUUCUGACUUUUUCUUCUUCUUUUUUUUUUUUUAUGAAAGUAAUGGAUGAUGGAGGGAGGAUUUGUGUAUGGGGAAUGGUUGAUGGUCAGGAAAGCUUUGCCUAGUACAAAGNNNNNNNNNNNNNNNNNNNNNNNNNNNNNNNNNNNNNNNNNNNNNNNNNNNNNNNNNNNNNNNNNNNNNNNNNNNNNNNNNNNNNNNNNNNNNNNNNNNNNNNNNNNNNNNNNNNNNNNNNNNNNNNNNNNNNNNNNNNNNNNNNNNNNNNNNNNNNNNNNNNNNNNNNNNNNNNNNNNNNNNNNNNNNNNNNNNNNNNNUAUAUAUACUAAGUAGCCAACUUAAUCUUAAUCCUUCUUAAAUAAGAGAAAUAAUCUAAAAUCCUAAUUAGAUUAGAAUUCCAAACAUGAUCGAAUAAGCUUAAAAAAUAAGAUAAAUUCUAAUAAAAUACUAAAUACCCAAAUAUUAUAAUUCUUAAUAAAUUCUAAUUUAUUUUAUCUAAUAUGCUUCCUACAUUACUCCAUCACUAUGUUGUCUGAAUCGAUGUCUCUUUUUAUCAAUAAAAAUGCUUCCUUGUCAUCCUUUACUAAGGCCCCACUCAAUUGCUUGUCAAUUACUUCUUGAUCAGCAAGCAAGUUUUCAAAUUUCAUAAGUGCUCUAAAAUUUCCUUCCACUUUGAAUCUCUCUGGCCUUGUGAAAUUCAUAUUGUUUCCAGAGAUUAUGGGACGUAUGGAACAUCUAUUGGCACUUCGGUUGUUGGGAACCGCUAUAAGAGGAUUGCCAAUGUCAAUUGAAUAUCUCUCUGGCCUUUUUUGCAAAAUUUAAAAGGUUGCAAAUAUCUCUCGAGUCUUCCAAUUACUAUAAGUAGAUUAAAAUGUUUAAGAACUCUAACGCUCUCUAGUUGCUUGAAGCAGGAAAAGUUUUCGGAAAGUAUGAAAUCUCUGACUAUGCUCAUUUUAGAUGGAAUUGCUAUUCGAGAAUUGCCAUUGUCAGUUGAACUUCUAACUGGCCUUGUGUUGAAUUUGAAAGAUUGGCAAUAUCUUGAGAGUCUUCCAAGUACCAUCAAUGGUUUGAAACUUCUUAAAAUUCUAAAUCUCUCUGGCUGCUCCAAACUCGAAAAUGUGCUAGAGAACUUGGGUAAAGUAGAAAGCUUGGAAGAGCUUAACAUUAGUGGAGCAGCAAUUGGGCAACUUCCGACCUUUAUUUAUCUCGUGAAGAAUCUUUAACGCAGUGGACCACUAUCAUCUACAUCAUGGGAUUUGUGCUUCCCCACCAAUAUGAUGUGAAAGGAGUUUAGAUCCCAUGACUAAUUUGAUGUUACAUUCUCUAUCAGGCUUAUGUUCUUUAACAAAAUGGGAUCUCAGUUACUGUAAUCUACCAGUGGAAGGAGGAGAAAUCCCAAGUGAUAGUUGCCACUUACGGCUAUUGGUCAAGAAUGAACCCGAAUCUAAUUCCCAGACCAGACGUAAUGUCGGCUGAAUAAUAGAUGAUAAUAUGAACUACUGUUUCUUUGCAUACGAUCUUUCGGUUACCCCUAGAGGACCUGUGUACGACGUCCGGCUCAGGUCGUCUAAACUUGCUAAGUGAGUUCAUGGGUUGGUCACGUGUACUCAUUUAUACAUAUUACAUCAUGAUCAAACGACCCGAAGAGACUGCCGUUUUGUCAAGCAUUAAUAUCAUUAUAUGGCUGCUAAAUCGGUUAAGGACGGGAAAUUAUUACAAACCCAUAACAAGCCGAUGACCGAAGAGGUAUCUUGUAUGAUGUCAUCGUGGCUGUAUAUAAAGCCUCAUAUGCUGGGGUUAGGUCCAUACUGCAGCUUGUAAUCUUCUCUCUAAGUUUGUAAGUUGUUAUGAGAAAACAAAUAAAGAGGGCAUAGGCCACUUGUAGCUAAACAUCUCUAGAUAUUAUGUUUGUGUUUUUAUUUUUUAUUUUCCCUUUGAGCGAAGCCUUACUGAUGAUGAAGAACCUCAACUGAUUUCCUCUGGUUUCUUCCCUGAUUUUGCACUAACUUUGGUGUCGGAGACCGCAACUGAUUUCCUGACAACUUGAAACCGGAUUGAUGGAGGCUUUUGAGGCAGUUUUUUAUCGGCUUUAAUUUGAACUUCUUCACGGCUUCAAGCUAUCUCUUCUUCAAAUUGUCUCAAUCGUUCCCUAUCAAACUGAAACAGCAAAUCUUUGUUAUCCUUAAGAUCUUCAUCAAUGAUCCUUUGAGUAAUUUCUUUCGGUUUCUGGAAUAUUGAUCUGAUUAGUGCUUCACCUUCUUCUUUUUUCAAGCUCUUAUCCUCGGCAGCUGUGCUCUGCCUACUCCUGUGGCCUCAAGCAUAGAAUCCACACUAACAGUUGCAUGUUUUCAUUUCUUCCAGUGCUUCAAGAAUAUCCCAUCUCCUUUUUUGAAGUCAAGGUUCUAUUCUCCAAAGCGUCUCUUCAGCAUCUCUCUUCUUUUUCGGCUUGCCUGCUUCCUUAUCCUCCACAGGCCGAGGUUCGAAUACAACUUAACCGACUCUUCUCAGGAUUUGGGAUUUAUUUUUGCUUUUAAGGCACUGGGGCUUUUCUUCUCUUGUCGAACAGUUUCAAAUAUAAACGGUUAAUGUUGAGGCACCGAUGCAGGGAUCAAUAGUUUAGACAUAGAGAGGUAUUGUUUAGGAAUUGUGUAUCAUUCCCAUGUCGAGAACAUGUUUGAUAAAAUGCCCAAGAAGGAACCAUAUGUCCAACAUUCCAACCUGUUGUGUUGAACAGAAAGAUAAUGCAUCUGUUACUCCAACUCUAUGAUUUCCCAAGAAAACAAUCAAUAUGUGAAUGUUUAGGCCAGUAGGUUGUAAGAACCAGGCAAAAAGCAGAACAAUUUCAAUUCUUUGAAACAGAGAGCAGUUAAGUAAAUUCAUAACUUCUUUUAUAAUAUGCAAACUGUAUUACUUCUAUGUGAAUUGCUGUCAGUGUAGUUCAACAGAGUGUUUCAGACUCAUGAAAACAACUGGAAAAGUUAAAUCAAAUAAUAGCAAAUUCAAAUCUUAGGUGGCUACUUCUUUGGGCUCCGUCAAAAGUUCAGGUUUGACAGCUGGUUCUCUAAUAAUCUCCCGCACGCAAAAUUCUACGAUGCCGUGAUUAAAAUUACGGCAUCAAUGUCAUGAUAAACUUAAAUUUUAUGAAUUACGUAUAAAAUUAGAAAAUAAAAGAUAAAAUAAGUAAAUCUGCUGUACCGUACAUCCGCCUUGGCCGUACAGCAGUUUGGAUAAAUUGUGAAAAAUUAAUAAGAAUUUAUUAAACAUAAGUUGAACAAUAUUUUGUUGAUAUAAUAAUUAAAAUCUUAUUUAAUUUUUGAUAUUGGAGGAAGAAAUUAUAAAUUUACAGCACUAUUAUUUUUUAAUUUAAUGAUAACAAAAAAUUAAUUUCACUUUUUUGAAUAACAAAAUAGUGUACUAUUUUCGAAUAUGCAUUUUACACUGAAAUGUGUAUUUAGAAAAUAGAAUUAGUAUUUAAUUAUAAAUUAUUAAUUAUGAUAAACAUAACAAGAUAAAUUUUAUAAGGCACAAUAGUAAUUACACAAAUUAAUAUCCAAUAUAAAUUAACAAAAUUAACAGCAGGAGAAUUAGAGUCAAAUUUUAAAAACACAUCUAAUUUUAGGCUAAAUCUCUUUAAGUUAAUGGUGGGCAUCCAACGCAACAUAAUUUCAAAGAAAAAUGUGAAACCUUUUAACCUUUAUUUUCCAUUUUUUACUUAUUUUCAUGAGAAAAUUCUACAAUUUAAAAAAGAAAAAAAAAACUCAAAAGAUUCUAGCGGAAUUACUCCAAAAGAAAUUUUUGUAGAGCUUGUUCAUUUUUAUUACCGAAUAAUUUAUGUUGCUCUGUUUAGUAGAGCUUGUGUAGGCAAAAGGAGCAUUAAGUUAUUUUAAAUUAUUAACAAAAUAAUUGUACAUAAAUUUUCUGUGUGUCUGAAUUUGGAAAAAUGUAAGUAAGAAAGGAGACGAGUGCUUAUUGCGAAUCCAAACUAAUUGCUCCAUUUACAGACAAAAGAGAUUUUCUCUUUCAAAUUAAUUUCAUCGUAUGGGGGUAAAGACAAAAGAGUGUGUAAUCGCUUUUUAACCAAGACUUGCUUUUGGAAUAUACAUCACAACCGACCCGAGGAGCCGGAAACCGUGUAAUCGCUUUAAUUUUCCAAAUUAAAUAAAAAUAAAAAAUUCUGUCAGGUCUUAAUUAAUUGCGACAUUAAUACUUAAUAAAUAUAUUUUUAUAAUUUAUAUAUAUAACUAGUAAAUAAAAAGUAAAAUAAAUAAAUUAUUAUAAAAGUAGUAAAUUGAUAUUUUAAAAUUAAAAAUAAAAAACACUUGUAAAAAUAAUAAAAAACUUAUAAAUCAACAUUAAACUUUAACUAGACUAUAAAAUAGUUGAUUUAUUUAAUUAAUUAAGCAAAAAAAACUCAUUAAUUAAAAAAAAAGUAUUAAAAUAAUUAGAAUAAAUUUUAUUGAAUUGGUUUAGCCAUAAAUUCUAUAUUUAUCUUAGGAAAUUUAUAAUUUUUUUCAUUUUCUAUCAUAAUACUUGUUUUCUGCAUAGGUUAAUUAAGCAAAAUUAAUUUUUUUUAAUGUAGAUCAAGCCAAAACAAAAUAAAAAUUAUUUUUAUAUUACUAGACAUAUAUGACAUAUUAAUUUUAUCUAAUUUUUAAUUUUAUGCAUACUUUAUAUAGUUUCAAACUUUAUUUCUUUUACUUAAAGAUCAUUUUGGGUUACUGUCUAAGAGGUUUAAAAGGAUACUUUAUUUUAAAAAUAACUUUAAAAAAACAUAAAAAGAGUUUUAUUCUUAAUAAAAUUUUACAUAUAUCGUAUUACAUAAACCCAAAACUAUCAUUAUUCAAGUUAGAAACAAAAUUAAUUAAAUAUAUAAGGUAGUCAUUAUUAUUUUAUAUAUAUUAAUUUAUUUAUUUUACCUUUUAUUUAGAAGUUUUAUAUUCUAAUUACGCAAUCCAUGUUUUAUUUUAUAUUUAAUGUUCAUUUAUAAGUUUUAUAUUAAAUUUAUAUUUUUUAUGUUUUAUCUACAUAGUUCAUAUUUAAUUAUAUUAUGCGCAAAUAUGUUUCACCGACUAAUUUAGCGUCUUUGAAGCAAUACUUCAAUGAAAUUCAACAGGCAGUUGCCUGUCCAAACUCGAAAAUGUGCUAGAGAACUUGGGUAAAGUAGAAAGCUUGGAAGAGCUUGACAUUAGCAGAACAGCAAUUAGGCAACUUUCGACAUUUUUUUUUCUCUUGGAGAAUCUUAAAGCAGCAGACCACUAUCAUCUACAUCCUUUAUUUUCCAUUUUUUACUUAUUUUCAUGAGAAAAUUCUACAAUUUAAAAAAGAAAAAAAAAACUCAAAAGAUUCUAGCGGAAUUACUCCAAAAGAAAUUUUUGUAGAGCUUGUUCAUUUUUAUUACCGAAUAAUUUAUGUUGCUCUGUUUAGUAGCUUGUGUAGGCAAAAGGAGCAUUAAGUUAUUUUAAAUUAUUAACAAAAUAAUUGUACAUAAAUUUUCUGUGUGUCUGAAUUUGGAAAAAUGUAAGUAAGAAAGGAGACGAGUGCUUAUUGCGAAUCCAAACUAAUUGCUCCAUUUACAGACAAAAGAGAUUUUCUCUUUCAAAUUAAUUUCAUCGUAUGGGGGUAAAGACAAAAGAGUGUGUAAUCGCUUUUUAACCAAGACUUGCUUUUGGAAUAUACAUCACAACCGACCCGAGGAGCCGGAAACCGUGUAAUCGCUUUAAUUUUCCAAAUUAAAUAAAAAUAAAAAAUUCUGUCAGGUCUUAAUUAAUUGCGACAUUAAUACUUAAUAAAUAUAUUUUUAUAAUUUAUAUAUAUAACUAGUAAAUAAAAAGUAAAAUAAAUAAAUUAUUAUAAAAGUAGUAAAUUGAUAUUUUAAAAUUAAAAAUAAAAAACACUUGUAAAAAUAAUAAAAAACUUAUAAAUCAACAUUAAACUUUAACUAGACUAUAAAAUAGUUGAUUUAUUUAAUUAAUUAAGCAAAAAAAACUCAUUCAAAAAAAAAACUGUAUUAAAAUAAUUAGAAUAAAUUUUAUUGAAUUGGUUUAGCCAUAAAUUCUACAUUUAUCUUAGGAAAUUUAUAAUUUUUUUCAUUUUCUAUCAUAAUACUUGUUUUCUGCAUAGGUUAAUUAAGCAAAAUUAAAUUUUUUUAAUGUAGAUCAAGCCAAAACAAAAUAAAAAUUAUUUUUAUAUUACUAGACAUAUAUGACAUAUUAAUUUUAUCUAAUUUUUAAUUUUAUGCAUACUUUAUAUAGUUUCAAACUUUAUUUCUUGUACUUAAAGAUCAUUUUGGGUUACUGUCUAAGAGGUUUAAAAUGAUACCUGAUCUUACAAAUAACUUUAAAAAAACAUAAAAGGAGUUUUAUUCUUAAUAAAAUUUUACAUAUAUCAUAUUACAUAAACCCAAAACUAUCAUUAUUCAAGUUAGAAACAAAAUUAGUUAUAUAUAUAAGGUAGUCAUUAUUAUUUUAUAUAAAUUUAUUUAUUUUACCUUCUAUUUAGAAGUUUUAUAUUCUAAUUACAUAAUCCAUGUUUUAUUUUAAUUUAAUGUUCAUUUAUAAGUUUUAUAUUAAAUUUAUAUUUUUUAUGUUUUAUCUACAUAAUUCAUAUUUAAUUAUAUUAUGCGCAAAUAUGUUUCACCGACUAAUUUAGCGUCUUUGAAGCAAUACUUCAAUGAAAUUCAACAGGCAGCUGCCUGUCCAAACUUGAAAAUGUGCCAGAGAACUUGGGUAAAGUAGAAAGCUUGGAAGAGCUUGACAUUAGUAGAACAGCAAUUAGGCAACUUCCGACAUCUUUUUUUCUCUUGAAGAAUCUUAAAGCAGCAGACCACUAUCAUCUACAUCAUGGGAUUUGUGCUUCCCUACCAAUAUGAUGUGAAGGAGUUUAGAUCCCAUGACAAAUUUGAUGUUACCUUCUCUAUCAGGGUUAUGUUCUUUAACAAAAUGGGAUCUCAGUGACUGUAAUCUACCGGUGGAAGGAGGAGAAAUCCCAAGUGAUAGUUGCCACUUAUGCCUAUUGUUCAAGAAUGAACCAGAAUCUAAUUCCCAGACCAGACGCAAUGUCGGCUGAAUAAUAAAUGAUAGUAUGAACUGCUGUUUCUUUGCAUACGAUCUCUCGAUUGCCCCUAGAGGACUUGUGUACGACGUCCGGGUCAGGUCGUCUAAACUUAGUAAGUGAGUGCACGCGUUGGUCACGUGCACUCAUUUAUACAUAAUGAUCAAACGACCCCAAAUGACUGCCGUUUUGACUAGCAUUAGUAUCAUUAUAUGGCUGUUAGAUUUGUCCUUUUAUAUAGAAUUGCAGGUCAAGUACAUGCCCAGAACACAAGAAGGAAAUUCAACAACUUUUCAGGUCAAGAGCAUCCUCCUGAUAUGUUAGAAGAGCAACGACAUGAUGCAUCUGUUGCUACAACUUUGUGAUUUCCCAAUUAAGCAAUCAGAAUCAAACAGUCAACAAAGUCAACUUUAUGAUUUCCCAGUUAAUCAACAAAGUCAAUUAUGCUGCAAUUUUAUGAAUUCCAUAUUCAAGUCAGCAAGUUUGGAAAUGUCCGUCCGUCGCUUGGAUUGCUGAAUCGCUCUUUUGGAUAAAUUUUCCGUGCUUUUAAUUAAAGAAAAUUAGAAAAGAAAAUUAUGCUACAAUUUAAUCAGUGUGAACAUUUGUGAUUCUUAUCCCUUUUAUUUUGAUGUUGGAAUUUUUUUGGGCCUUCAUAGGUUCAUUGAAUUUAAAUGUGCUUAUUUAAUUUAGGUUUUCUUACUUUUGUUGAGCAGUGUUGAUUCUUUUCAUGUUGGAUUAUUGACACCCCUCUAAUCUUUUCAUAAAACCUUUUUAUUAUUUUUUUUCUAAUUAUUCUUAUUUUUAAUUCCAAAAAUGUCCCCUUUUAAUCACUCAUCUAAUUUUUAAUCUUAUUUUAUUAUCGAAGUUGAGGUCUAGCUUCACAGCUAAGCUUUUCUAAGACUUAGGUUCUUGUCUUGAUCUUUAAUGGAUGCGUGAAUUAAUUUCAAAAAUGUCUUUUAUUAUUUUCUUGUUGAUUUUUUUUACGGAGUUGGAUUAUUGCCACCCCUCUAACAUUCUCAUAAGACUCUUGUUUUUUUUUUAGUUAUUCUUUCUUUUAAGGGAAAAUGACAUGUACACCCCUAGGUUUGAAGAAAUGGUCACCAACACCCCCAGCUUUUUAAAAAGGGACACCAAGAUCCCUUUUUGACCAUUAUGCCAUUUAAAAAAUUUAAUUUAAAAUUAUUAAUAAAUAGAAAUAUUACAUAAAUAAUGUAAUCUAUGCAAUAGACUAAGAAUAUUAAAAUAACUUAAUAUUUUAAUAAAUUUAAAUAUGUAAAUUUUUAUAUUUAUUUAAUAAUAUUUAUUUUAGAUAUUUUAAAUAAAUAUUUGCAUUAAAUAUAUUUUACAAUAAAAAAAAUUAUCUUUAUAAAGAGGAAUUAUCUUUGGCAAAGUAAAUUUUCAUCAUUUUUCAGUGCGUCCAACACGCUCAAAGCAUUAAGGGUGCGUUUAGGAUUCAGGUGUUGUAGCUUUUAAGUUACAGCUGUUGUGAAAAAAAAACUGUAACUAUGAAAUAAAAAUUAAUAAUAUGUAAUAAAUAUAAAUUUUAAAUAAUAAUUUUGACAAAAUUAUUAAAGAUAAAAUAGAUUUUCUAUUACACAAGUAAAAAAUCAUAUUAACAUACCAAACAUUUUAGUGCUGCAGCUUAAAAGCUACGGCUGGCUAACCUUAAUCCCAAACGCACCCUAAGUUUUCUCGCAGUUUUGUAUUCCAACAUUGCUUCCCAUGAAUGUUUGUCUUACAUUAUUAAGUAUUAUUAUGUAUGAAGUGUUUCUUUUUUCUUUUUUUCUUUUUUGGAUGUGAUAGAUUAAGUGUUUCUAAUCACUCAGUUAGUCAAUAUUAGAGGAGAUUAUGUUCUCUUCUUUGCUAAUUUUGAUUAUUUAUGUACAGUUUUUUCGGUACUUGUUGAGUUGGAACUCAAUGUGAGUACACAUUUUUUUCCCCCAACAACACAAAAAAACAAUUGCUUCUUCAACUUCUUCUCUUAUCCAUAUGCUGAAAAAAAGAGAAAAUUGAACAAUCCAUUGAAGAAAGAAGGCAUUUAUAUUGUGAUCAAAAGGAAGUUUUCCACUUGUGAUUUCCUUCCAGCCAUUAACGUGAUCCAACAUUCAAUCAUUCCACUGCAGGACUCAUGAAGAAAGGUAGGCUCUUGAAUCCUUUUAUUUUCUUUCAAUUUAAGAGGCAUUUACUCAUAAAAAUCCUCUGCUUUUCCUCAAAACAAAUAUAUUUGCCUGAUUAGAUUAAGUUCUCUUAAAGCAAAGUACUUCAUUGGAAUUCAUUUACUUACAAAAAUCCUCUCUAUUUAAGAUUUGCUCAGGCACACUCUCCCAUCAGGAUCUGAAAAGUCAAAAUUUCUGAUAUAUUUUCGGAUUUGCGGUAUGAUAUUUUCUUUUCUUUAAAGAAAGGAUAACAUAAAAUUGUGUAAGAUCAAUUAAAGUAGAAAUUUGAUUCAUACGUAACUAUAACUUAAGUGAUCACAUAAUAGUUUACUUUUUUUUACAAUUUCGACAUGCUUAUUUAUUUUUUGUGUAAUUUUUAUUUUAUUUUUACUUUUAUAUUCUUGACUAGAGUAAGCCGAAAAUUGAUAUUAUAUUUUAGAAAUAUAAAUAAAUAUAUUAUUAAUAUAAAUAAACUAAAUAUAUUAUAUUUUAUAAAUAAAAAUAAAUAUAUUAUUAAUAUAAAUAAUAUAAAUUUAUUAUUCUUGACUAUUUUAUUUUUACUAUUAUGACUUUAUCACCGAGCGCGCAUCUCAAAUUUAAAUGUUAUUUUGCACACGAUAAUGCAUUUAAAUUCUAUUUAUUCAAAAAUCUGUUAUAAAUAAACACAGGGUCUGAUUUAUUGUCAAUCUUUAAUGUGUCCGUUUGUCGGGUAGAGCGACGAGUUAGAGAGUGUUUAUUGAGCUUCUCAUUUCCUCUGUGAAUUUUUAUUGGUUUAAAUACUUGAAUCUCGGAAUUGAGGCUACAAUGCUUAGUGCACAUGUGUUGAAUAUGAUCGAUCUCAGCUUGAUUUGGGCUCAGAACAAACGAUAAAUAGACAAAGGAAUGAUUAUAUGGAAUUUGCAGGCCAGGUUCAAGAGAGGAGUUGUUGAGGAAUUAUGGUAUAAUUCUCGUGCCUAGGACGUGUUCGAUAAUAUGCCUACGAAGGAAUGUGCAUCCCACCUGAUGUGUUGCAUCAACUCUAUGGUUUCCCAAGCAAAAGCAAUCAAUCAACAAGGUCAAUUCGUGAAGGUUUGUCCUGCGUGAGUCAUGGCUAGUGAGCAGAUUCUGAGAUUCCUUCACUAUCAAUAUGUAUUGUCAAUAUAUUGUUUAAAUAUAUUGUCAAUAUAUUCCUUCACUAUCAAAUUCCAUAUCUUCAGUGCAUUGGUAGUUUAUGUACACAUGUCUUUAACAGAAGUUUACCACAAACACAGUGCAAACCCAGUGUUUAUUUAAUCAAUUAUUUUUUUUCUAGCGACUAACAUUUUUGCAAAUUUCUAAAUAAAAAUAUACAUGACAGAAUUUGAUUAUUUGUUGUUGCAUGAAUGAUGUGGUAGAACGAAGGAAUUGUAGAAUCUCUUGAGUUUUAGACAUAAAACAGAGUCAGGCCAUGGAAUGAAUGAAAAAAAUAUUAUCACAUUUGUUGGAAUGAUGCUGUGCUUUAUUCAAAAUUAUUUCUUCCACUAGAGAAGCAAUCAAUAAUAGUGUUAAUUCUUGAACCUGUGAAAAGCAAUUAAUUUUCUUCAUUUGUUUACUAGCAAUCUUCCAUAACCAUUGUGCUUGGCUGUGAAAUAGCCCAUUUGUGGCUGAACACAGAAUCUGUUUUUUGUUUCUUUGUUGUUUUUGCGAAUCUUUGGCUUAAUUUACAAUUCAUGGCAUGUCUGAAAAUGGGUUGAUGAAUAUGUUAAAUAUGGACUCAGAUAUAUCCAUGAAACAAUCAAGAGGAUUCAACAUUUGAUUUUUAUUUUUCUUUUCUCCACCCCCAUGUUUAAUUUUGGUCGGAGGACUUGGUUGAUAGGAAUUGACAACUAUUGAUUUUCCUUUUUUUCGUUAAGCAACAGACCACAAUGUCAAUUUGAAGACUUUGUUGAUAAGAAUUGACAACUGUUUGUUCUUAUUAUUUGUUUUUGUUUAAUAGAAGAUGCCUUGGAAUUCCACAUUGUUGACAUGUAGUUGAUAUUUCAAACAUUUUGAUGUUAAGAGCUUAGAAUGUUUGCUGUCGGAAUUCUUAUUAAGAAAAUUACUAUGCUGCUUGCAACAUAAUCGAAGUUGUAAGUUUUAUGCCAUGCAGUUCUCUUUAUUUUCAUUUUUGUUUUUGAAUUUUCAGAAUUAAUAUGAAGAAGAAGAUCAUUAAUUUCCAAAGCAGAGAAGAAAAUGUUUUCAGAAUUAUACUACAAUGACUAUAAGGAGAUCCUCAAAAUGAGAUUCUUGAUGUACUUCAAAUAUGUUUUGAUGGGUCAAAAGAAACAGAGAAGAAAAUAUUUCUCGAUCUUGCAUGUUUCUAUGAAGAGAAGUACAGAGAUUAUGUGAAAAAAAUUCUCAAAUAUUGUGAUUUUGACCCAAUUAUCGAAAUUGUUGGUCCUAUUGAAUAAUCUCUAUUGACUGUAGCUGAUUUCAGCGGACUGUGGAUGCAUGAGUAGUUACAAUAAAUGGAGUAGACAAAUUGUUAGGAGGCAAUCCCAUCAGGAGCCUGGAAACUGCAAUAGAUUGUGGGAAAAAGCAGAUAUAUGCCAUGUAUUAUCACAAAGCAGAAGUAAAUGUUUAGUUAGGUUGAAAACUUGCAAUUUUGGGAUCAUGAUCACUUAUUUAUCUAGUUAAACCUUUGCAUAGUUUUAUCAAUAUUUUCUUUCUUUCAUUUUUUUUUUUGGUUACAACUUAUUUUUUGUUAUAAUGUUUAGGAAACUGAUGUAGUUGAAGCAUCAUAUUUGAUCGCUUUAACAACAAAGAGAUGCAUGUCAGUGCUAAAGCCUUUUCUAAUAUGACCAAUCAGACUUCACAAGAGUACCAAAUUUAGGGGAGCUGAUUUCUGAAAGAUUUACAACGUUGCAGGAGAUUCACUCAUUUUUUUCUGCGUCAAAGAAGCUGAGUUUGUUGAAUUUGAAAUGUUGUACAAGUCUUACAACUCUUCCAGGCAAGACCUUUAUGAAAUCUCUUAAGACACUUGUUCUUUCUGGUUGCUUGAAGUUGAAGAAAUUUCCAGACAUUGUGGGAAGUUCUUUCGGAUGGAACUGAUAUUAAACAACUGCCAUUAUCAAUUGAACUUCUAUUUGGACUUGCUCAGUUGACUCUGACUGGCUGCAAAAAUCUUGAGUGUCUUCCAAGGACCAUGAGUGCUCUAAAAUAUCUAUCAACUUUGAAUCUCUCCAGCCCUUUGAAAUUCAGAGAGUUCCCAGAGAAAACUUCAAGCAGGGAUCAGCUCUUGGAGCUUCAUUUGGAAGGAACUGCUAUAAGAGGAUUGCCAGCAUCUAUUGAACUUCUUUCUGGCAAUGUCUUGUUGAAUUUGAAAGAUUGCAAAAAUCUCAAGAGUCGUCCAAGUACCAUAAAUGGUUUGAGAUCUCUUAGAACAUUGUAUCUCUCUGGCUGCUCCAAACUUAAAAAUGUGCCAGAGACCUUGGGAAAAGUUGAAAGCUUGGAAGUUAGAUUGUCUUGUUAGAAUCGGGCCAAAAUGCAGAAUGAUUUCGACUGUGGAACAGAGUGCAGUGGAGACAGUAACAAAGUUAGCAAAAGCAGAAUCGCUAAGGUACUUUACAAAAUUAAUAUUUGCCUUUAGAACACGCAAUAGCCUAUUACUUCUAUGUGCAUUCCUAUCAAUAUCUUCGACCGAAAGAUUCAGAUUCAUGGAAGAAGAAUGUUGAUAAGAUUCAGCUAUCUACAACAGCAAUAUCAGCUUGCUCACUCGCCUGCCAUAGGCUGAUUCAAACCUCAAGAGCCAUGCCGAAGAGUUGAAUCAAAUAACAGCAAAUUCACAUCUUAGGUGGUCUUUUCUUCCAGCUUGGUCACUGCAUCAUUCUUUUAUAGCAGGUUCGUUCUAUAAUAAUCUCAUAGGCACAUAUCACGAACUUUGUUUUAUCAUGCUUGCAUACUUUGUUUACUUCUGCACAGUGAUAUACACAUUCACUAUCUCUAUUUUGCAUGACUACUAUAAAUUUAAGUAGAAAUUGAUUUUUGAAUAUGCUCUUAUCCUUUAUUAAUCAUAUAAAAAGCUCAUACGUUAGGGUAUAUGACUAUUUACAGCUGUCUUGCGGAUGGAUUGGUAACCUUACUAAGUAAUAUUAUCAACAAUUUUUGGAUUUGCUGAUUUUAGAGCCUGGUCUUAGAAUCCAUAAUGCAUUGACAUAUUUUCUUUCUCUUUGACUUUUCUCUCUCGAUAAUUCUCUCUAUUUAUUUUUCUUCGUUUUGAGAAUUAAGAUUUCUAACUUUCAAUUGAUAUAAUUAAGCCAUGAGUUUGUGAUACAAGUUUUUCUAAAAGAGACUCAAUUACUGACUUGAGUGUCGGAGGAUUUUCGCCAAAAAGAAUUUGGUGCCCCUCUAAUUGGAUAUUGUGAGUAUAGGUGAUCCAACUUAGCCAGUUUUGGUUGAAGCUAUCUACUCGAGUGCGAUAGCCGUCUCACUGAAUCAGCUCCCUAGCAAACAAAAUUUAAACAUUGGCGCAGAUAGCCUGGUCGCAGUUCCAUCGAUCAGAUUCCUGCAUCAACACCAUAAGCACUCUACCAAGUUUACCUCAAGUCUCCAUCAAGACACAACAUGAUGAUCCAUGUCACAACAACGUCCAUUAUUUUAUUGGCGCACAAUUUGCUAUUGUCAAGCAAAUUGCUGUCCCUUUUGAAAAAAUUUACCAAGUUUAGUUAUAUGGUCGGCCACCAUUUUCAACAUAUACACAAUAAAUGCAUUCCCCACAAAUAAUAAGGUCAUUCAUUGGCAUUUUCAUUUCAUCAAGUUAGUUUAUAAAAUUUUGACAUUCACAUUUCACUUUUGCAAUAAGCCCAUCAUUUUGAAGAAAUCUUGUCACUUAUUUUGUACUAAAUUUUUAAGAUCAAAUAUAAUGGCCUUCAUGACCAUGAGCAUCCAAAAAGGAAUCAUCGUAAUCUUACAGAUGUUACGAUUAUAUUUAAUGAAAAUGACUCAGAAAUCUACUUCUAAUAGACGUUUUUAGAUUUAGUCCCUUGUAUUUUAUACAAUUGAAGCUUCCAGGAAAUUUCGCGGUAAUGUCAUAUGAUGUAUUGUCGGUAGACACGAUGAAAAUAAUUAAAAUGUCACUUUUUGACCAAGACUUGCUUUUCGUUUUGUCAUACAAACAAACAACAACAGAGAUGGGAAGAUAGAAUUUGUGUGACGCACAACUAUGCUUUCUCAAUAAAACAGAACUUUAAUUCUCCAAAUAGAAACCCUCUGCUUUCCCCUGAAACAAAUAUAUUUGCCUAAAACAAGUACUUCAGUGGAAUUCCAUUAAGUAGCUGCCUGCUACAGUACAGUCAACGCUGUAAGUUCUAUCUUAUACACACAUUUCUCUUUUAUUUUCAGUAUUAAUUUCCAUAUCCUGGAUCUAUGUUAGAAAAGAAGAAAGUGGAGGCAAGCUAGAAUGUGAAAUUUUGUAUAAUUAUUUUAAAGGAAAAAAUUUGCUAAAAUGGUCACAUAAAUUCUCUUGGCUUCACAAAUAUUCAUUAAGACACUUUUUUAACAAUUAUCCCUUGGAUUAUAACAACAAAAAAAUUUAUUUUAAAUAAAAGUCUGCAAUAAGUACAUAUAUAAUAUUAAAAUAAUCUAAUAUAUAAACUAUUAUAAAUUUUAAAAAUUAUUUUGAAUAUUAAGCAAAAUUAUUUUUAUAUUAUUAUUCUGUUUUUCGCAUACUAAUAAUAUAAAGUCAAUAUACAUUUAACAUUCAAGAUAACUUACAAAUUCUAUGUUAUAUAUUUUAUUCAUAAUUUUUUAUAUUACCUUUUUUUUUAUAUCAUGUCUAUAUUAGCAUAAAUUUAAAGUUAAUUUUUGGAUUAAUGGAUUGAAGUAUCAGUUAAAACUAUCAAGAAUAUUGAUAAUAGCAAAAUACUAAAAAUAAUUUACAUGACAUAUAUGUGUUAAUUUAGUUAACUAUAUUUAUUUUAAUAUUUUAUUUGUCAAUUGCAUACAACUGUAGCAUUUAUGUUAUUAUUGAAGGAUGAUUCAAAUUCUUUAUGUUUGUUAGUUUUUGUUUGGGCGGGAAAUUUAAGUUUUAUCCGAGUUGACUCUAUUGACCACUGCUUGUAUCAAAUUUGAACAAAUGUGCAUACUAAAUUUUUUGGAGAAAAAUGGAAUUGAAUAAUAAAUGUACAAUAAAAAAUUUACAUGUGUUGUGAUUUUCACAGAUGGAUUAAAAAAAAAUGAUUGGCGGAUUGAAUAAUGAAUGUACAAUAAACAAAAAAAAAAUUACUUUUGUUGUGAUUUUCACGGACGAACAAAAAAGAAAAAAGGGAUUAUAAGUGUAUUUAAACGGUCCAUUAGCCUUUAACAUUUACUUUCCAAUCUUUACUUAUCUCAACAAGAAAUUUCUACAACUUCAAAAAAAUAAAUAAAUUAAAGAUUAUAGUGGAAUUCUUCUGAAAGAAUAAAUUCUUGAAAGAUUUUGGUAGAAAUUUUCCAAAAUAAUAAAAUUUUUAAAAAGAUUAUUGUGGAAUUUUUCUAAAAGAAUAUUUUAUUCACUUUGCCCUAUAAAAUGCAAUUACAUUGAGGCUGCCCUUGAUAAAAUACUAAAAGAAAUUAUUGUUUUCCUCAACAUCAUGUCGACUAUAACUUUGAUUCCAUGCACCACUAAAGACCAUGAUCAUGCUUCGUAAUUGCUUUCGACAGACACUUUUGAUUACACUUUUUGUUUUUGAGAAAUUAAUUAGAGCACAAAACAUUCCUUUCAUUGAUUUCUUUGAAAGAAACUUAGGUCCUCUUAUACUGUAAUUUUUUAGUUUUAAAUUAUUAAAAAAAUUAUAAUUAUAAGAUAAAAAUUAAUAGUAUAUAAUGAAUAUAAUUUUUAAAUAAUAAUUUUUAUAAAAUUAAUAAAAAUAUAAUAAAUUUUUCAUCAUACAACAUAAUCUGCUGGAUAUAAUAGUUAAUACUCAUUAAACACUUUAGUAUGAUUGUUGAAUGCAAAAAUAGAGAGGAUCAAAUUUUUCCAAUUUUUUAUGAAGUGGAACCAACUGUUGUAAGAAAACAAACAGCAAGUUUCGGAGAAGCUUUUGCUAAACAUGAAGAAUUUUUCAGGGAUAAUAUAGAAAAAGUGCAAAAGUGGAGACACGCUUUAAAGGUGGUGGCCAAUAUAUCAGGCUGGGAAUUGAAGGAUAGGUAAUCAUUCUUUUUCUCAACUAUUAAUUUUGUUUGUCUUGCAAGAUUAGUAACUACAAAACAGAUUUUAAUAUUCAUUCAACACUGUUUUCAAUUAAUACAUAUGUAUAUCGUAGAUGUGUAGUAAAAGGGUUCCUCCCGUGAGUUGAAUAUCUUUAAAUUAUACCUUCACUUUUGAAAACUUCAAUUUACCUCCCAUUUUUGUUAAGAAUACAAAAACAUUUCAUCAACUCACCCCAUUUUUCCUUCUCUUUUGAACAAAAAUAGGGUAAUUGAGGUGUUCAAAAGGGAGUGAUUUGAAGAUAUUCAAAUCAUGAGAAUAAUCUAAAUUUUAUGAAUGAAUUAAUAUUUGCAAACAAAGAGAUAUGGACAUUGAUAUGUUGAAUUAUUGUAUUUUGAACUUUUCAUGACUAAAAGUUUUUACGUUGUGAUGCUUUGUGCUAUCAGUCUGCUGUACGGCCAAGGCGGAUGUACGGUACAGCAGAUAUCAACCGUUGGAUUCCAUUCCAUUCUAAUGGAAUCCAAUGGCUUCAACAUGGGUGAUGGGCAGAGUGGCAUGGACGCGUAAUCAAUUGAAAAGCCAGAUAUUCUUCGCUUAGAUUCCUUGAAGCUUCCAGCAAGCUCGAUGCUAACUCCAUCGUGUGAGUAAUCGAUUGAAAAGCCAGAUAAUUUUCAUUUAGAUUCCUUGAAGCUUCCAGGAAGGUUGAUGGUAACUUCAUCAUUAGAGUAAACAAAGACGAUAUUUUUGAAUUGUUAAGAAAGUCGCUGUUUGACCAAGACUUGCUUUUGGAAAUACACACAUUGCAACGCAACUGAGGCGCUGGAAACCGUGUAAUCGCUUUAAUUUUCCAAAUUAAACAAACAAACCUCUGCCUUCCCUUGAAAGAUAGGUGCGCACGUAAAAUUCUAUCAUGUCGUAAUUAAUUGCGACAUUAAUAAGUAAUGAAUAUAAUUUUUUAUAAUUUAUACAUACAACCAGUACAUAAAAAGUAAAAUAAAUAAAUUAAUAUAAGUGUGGUUAAUUGAUAUUUUAAAAUUAAAAAUAAAAAAUACUUGUAAAAAUAAUAUAAAACUUAUAAAUCAACGUUAAACUUUUACUAGACUAGAAAAUAGUUUAUUUCUUUAAUUUAAUUAAGAAAAAAAUCGCUAAUUAAGAAAAAAAUUGCUCAUUAAUUGAAAAAAAAUUGUAUUAAAACGACUAGAAUAAAUUUUAUUCAAUUGGUUUAACCAUGAAUUCUAUAUUUAUCCUAGGACAUUUAUAAUUUUUUUUUCAUUUUCUAUCAUAAUAUUUGUUUACUACACAAGUUACUUAAGCAAAAUUAUUAUUAUUUUUUUAACGUGGAUCAAGCCAAAACAAAAUAAAAGUUAUUUUUAUAUUACUACAAAUAUAUGAUAUAUCAAUAAAAUUAUAUCUAAUUUUCAGUUUUAUAAAUAAUUUAUAUAGUUUCAAACUUUACUUUUUUUACUUAAAGAUCAUUUGGGAUUACUGUCUAAGAGAUUUAUAGAGGGAUGCAAAAUUACCUUAUCUUACAAAUAACUUUAAAAAACAUAAAAAGAGUUUUAUUCUUAAUAAAAUUUUACAUAUAUCGUAUUACAUAAGCCCAAAACUAUCAUGAUUCAAUUUAGAAACAAAAUCAGUUAAAUACAUAAGGUAGUCAUUAUUAUCAUUAUAUUAAUUUAUUUAUUUUACUUUCUAUUGAGAAGCUUUAUAUUCUUAUUACAUAAUUUAUGUUUUAUUUUAUAUUUAAUGUUGAUUUAUAAGUUUUAUAUUACAUUUAUAUGUUUUAUCUAGAUAAUUAAUAUUAAUUAUAAUAUGCACAAAUAUGUUUCACUGAUUCUGCUGUACGGCCAAGGCGGAUGUACGGUACAGCAGUCUUUCAACUGACAGUAUUAGUUAUUGAUCAGGCUAUGCAGUUUAAGUUGAAAUUCCUAGGCCAACCCACAUUUUACAAAGACCAUCAUCCCCUAUACAAAAUGAUUUAAUCAAGAAGAUAGUACCAUAUUACCCAUCCUCACAAUUCAAAUUACUAGUAAUUUUUCGCAUACCUAUCAACUUGACUAUCUUAUCAAUUGAAGGUAUGUGCUUGAGUCCAAAUUGAUAGCAAUGUAAUCAGCAAGACAAGAGAAGUGUAAUAAGUAGCUUGGAGAUAAGCAAAUUUAAACCCAAGCAUGCAUGCACUGGGAGAGCUUAACCAUACAAACUUGACACAGCAUACUGACCGGUGAGAGAAUAUGAUCUCUUUUUAAACGCAAAAGACUAAGGUAAUGGGUCCAAUGAAUUUGUAGAAGUUAUGAUUCCUUUGAGUAAGUAACUAUGUGGAGCUUUAGAUUUCAAAGUGUAAAAAUAAUUUUUUGAUUUGAUGGAAUGUGCUGUUAGUAGAGUCCAUUAACUGCUUGCUAAAUCUAUUAAAAUUUGGUUUUUCUUUAUCGAAGUUCCUAGAAAAACGCAGCGUUUUAUGAUAUCUACGGAAUUCUUGUGAUAACUGCAAGUUCUUGAUUGUACUCUUCUUUCUUUUUCUAUUUCUCAAUCUCUUUCACAAGUUCAAAUAUUGGCACCAAAUAGUUAGUAGAAAAUUCACAUUAAAAAAUUACUCAUGGUUUCUAUUCCUAGACUCCUAUUUUCUCAACUCCAACCUUCCGCAUCAUCAGCACCUAGAUUCAAGCCACUGACAGAUCCUUCUUCCACUAAUAAAGCCAACAACUAAUCCAUCACGACAAUGUCAGAACCCUUUAGUUUUGUUGUCCUCCGCAUUAUACGGUAACCAGUUUCAGCCACUCUUUACCACUCAAACCCUUGCAAAUCCUAGUCAUAUUAAACUUCAGAGCCUUAAACCCUUUCUACUUCACAGACCUUUCCAAUCGGCCAUAUAUUGAAAUGGUUCCAGGAAAUUCACAUAUCUUAUAUUUGAAAAAAGAAGCAAGAACUUAAAUAUAUUUAUGAGAAACAGUUGUCGCUCAGAAAUAAAAUAUAUACAAAAAGUUCAUGUUCAUGUGCCAAAUUCACAAGGUUGGGGUUUGAAGAAGAUUUGCAUUAUCAUAUAAUUUAUAAAUGAAAAGAAAUUCAAUGUCGCACAAGAACAUUUAUAUCAAGAAUCUACAGAAAGAUAUGGUGCACCUAAAUCAACAACACCACAGGGCAUACUUUUAACAUUAAAGAUGAAAAUAAAUUCACGGUAUCAAAAUAGACUUAUAAGCUUUCAUGAUGUAAGAAAGGAAAAAAGGAAAAGGAACUAAUAAAUUAACUCAUUAGAUCAAUUUUUUCAUUUUGAAAAAAAAAAAAAAUUGAAGAGGAAGAUGAAGAAGAAAAAGAGGAGGAAGAAGAUGAUUUGGUAAUCUUUACUUACUCAAAUGGACGUUCAACUUCAACGCCAAGGGUCAGGUGUAAGGAAAACUCAGCCGAUCCAGUGCGUCCAUCAUCUUCUGUGCAUGCCUCAUGAGAAAAACCUCUAGGAAUAUAUAAAAUAUCACCUUCCCUGAGUAAAAAUUGUCUGCACUCUGCCAUGGAACUCUCAGCCUCUACACCAUUCACAAUAUCACAAGGAUUGUACAGGCGAGGUAACUGCACACUAGGCUGCGCAAAAAUUUUCCACUGCUUAGUUCCAAAAAGUUGACAUACAAACACACAAUGAUCGUCGUAGUGGGAAGCCAACCCUUGAGAAUUAGGUGGUGUCAAGUACAUAUUGGCACCUACUGAUGGUUGACCAAACAAUGAAGCUAAACCAUCUGCAAUAUUAGCAAGACACUCAAAGCGAAAUUCCAUUCCACGCAGAGCAAUUGUAUAACCCUCUUUAUAUGCUUCUUCACAUUUUGAAAUAUCAUUAGCAUAAAUCAAAUACGGAUCCUUGACGUCAAAAGAAUCUGAAAUUCUGGGAAAAAAAUGCACCUCUUUUUUUGAGAUCUUAUCUGUUUUUAAAACCCGUAUGUCCUGCUCAUACACAAGAGGACAGCCCAGUUUAUGUCUCAUGUCAUUCAAGAAACUAAGAAUGUCCAAUUCAUCUGAAGCAAUAGGUAGACAAGAAAUAAGACGUUGAAAGAUACAAGAAAGGAAGGAACAAAUUGAUUCUUGGGAACUUAGACCUUGUACAAAUGAGGUGAAAAUAUCAUUCCCUUCAAUCAAAGAAUCCGUGCUUCUUCUUACAAGAAAGGGUGAAACCUCCCAAUAAUUUACAACGAAAUUCUCAAAACAACCCUCAUUCAAAGAAAAAAUACUUCUUUCAAUUCUCUCUUUUGAAAUUGUCGUGAAUUGAUCAGCAUUAAGGGAUAGCCUAAAAAUGCUUUCCGCCAAACUAUUAACAGUGAUUUUGCUCGAACAAAAAUGCUUCUCUCGAUUAGACCUCAUAAUAUUGCCAGAUAACAACUGAUCUCGAACUUUUAUCCACAGCUCUUUUAAGAAUACAAAAAGACUUUCAUACAGCUUCCUUGGUAUCCUCAGCAAUUGUUCAAUAUCACAGCUAUUAAUCAAAACUAUUGCAGCAUCCAGAAGCAAUACAAGAAAUUCAUCUUCUUCGCAGGCUAUACAGAGAGAGGCUUCAUUUCCAUUUUCCCCAGCGCAUAAAGAAACCAAAGUUGAUGAUCUAUGAACCUCACGAAAUACAAGUCUGAUAGAUGUUAACUGUUAAGCCAACUAGUAAUCACAAUUUACGCCAAGAUGUGCUAAAAAUCAAAAGAUAAUACGACAUAAAAAAUAUGCAGUUAAAAGUGACAUGAUUAUUGACUUUACAACACUGAACCAUAUAAUAUAACAUUAACAAAUGCAGAUAAAUUACUUUUCAAAAUACUCACAAAAGGGCCUCCAAAGCAGAGGAUUCUAACAACUUCUGCCUUCCAACUGAAGUGGUAGACAAAUCCAAAACAGCAUUAGCAGCGGCAACCAAAACUCUCUUCUCCGAAUUCCGCAACAAAGACACCAGACCCCGGACAAUUUCCGCGUCCGCAGCAAUUUGUUUGUUCGUUUCUAAAGACAAGAGCGAUGCGGCCCCCACAAUCUCCGCGCUGAGGCCCGCAAUUCCGCCGCUACAUCUGCAAAUUAAUAAUUAAAUUAGUCGAAGAAUCAAAGCAUACGUGCAUACAUGCAUACACAUAGGAUUGAGAGUGUGUUUGGUGACAGAUACGCGCUAUCCUUACUUGGAGUUAAGGAGGACGGGGAGCAAAGAGAGAAUAGGAAUGGGGAGAGUUGGUUGGGAUUGGGAGAGAAGUGAGAGCCGCAGUCUGUUUAAGCAUUUUUUAAUUAUGAAUUCGGAGUAGUUGUUGUUGCUGUUGGAGAGGGCUGCCACUAAGAUGGCGAAGAUGGAGUUCGUGUUAUCUUGCUUCUGCUUCCUCUUCUUCUUCUUCUUCCCCAUUUUUUUCAUAUUUGACAUUUUCUUUAAGCUGCAACACAGCAGCGCGGUGCCUCUCCCCCUCGCCUUUGAUUAAGUUGUUUGUUAUAUGAGUUAUAACGUUCAGGCCCCUGGAUAUUAAUCAAAUCACAUUUAGGGCAUUGUUUGCAACUAAUUUUGUCAAAAUUUUGUUUCGUAAAAUAUCAUCAUUCAAACAAAGUUUAGUAAACAACUAAUUUUUAUAUCCGUAAGACCAAAACACCCCUCGGAUAAAACAUUAACCGACCCGAUUCUGAACUCGGGAAUUUGGAUUGGCGCAAACGCAAUAGUCAGAAUACUCGCGCGAAUAUCAUUAUCUAUUUGGCUACGUGGCAUACUCAGCCAAAAUGCUUCGCAGAUCGCGAUCCUUUUCUUCUAUUUUUUAUUGAUUGAUUAGAACUUUCUCUUUGAAUUGAAAAGUCUCGAGCUUUGAGAACUAGAAAACUCCAACGCAAGGCACGCAAGCAGCCAAACCCUAGACAAGAAUCAAAACCUCCCACUAUACGAAAAAAUCCGAAAUUGGAAUUCACGAAUCGAACAAUGGCGUACGUGGACCACGCUUUCUCGAUAUCCGACGAGGACAUAAUGAUGGAGACAUCAUACACCGUCAACAAUCGGCCUCCGAUCAAAGAGAUCGUCCUUGCCGUUUCUCUCCUCGUUUUCGGCACUUUCGGCAUCAUCUGCGGCACCAUCAUGGCCUACAACAGAGUCGGCGGUGACCGCGCUCACGGUACCUACUUAAUUACAUUUUGAUUAAUUUUGAGUUAAUUAUAAUUAUGUAUGGGAUCUUGUUCAUUGAAUUUUUUUUUUUCAAAUUUUUGGUGGCGAAUCAGGGGUUUUCUUUGCAGUACUGGGCGCGAUUCUGUUUAUACCGGGAUUUUAUUAUACACGAAUUGCGUAUUAUGCGUACAAGGGAUACAAAGGCUUUUCUUUCAAUAAUAUACCUUCUGUUUGAGCUGAUCUCUUACUCAAUGUACAGAUCUCCCCACAAGUUGUACUUUGUCUUUUUUUUUUUUUUUUGGGAAUAUUGAUUUUUAUUUUUGUUUGAAUAAUAUUUGUGUAUAUUGGUUACUAAUAUUGUGAACAAGGUGCGGUUAUAUAGUGAUAUGCUGUGUUGUUCUCAAUGUAACCUUUGUUGGUUUUUGCAAUUGACUUGUUUAAAGUAUCAUUUUUGUUUAGAGUUUGUACAAGUGUUGUCUUUGUAGCUCCUGUCUUCCUAGAUAGAUUGUUAACAGAACUUCAAUUAUUUUGCUGCUGCUGUCUUAUGCUUGUUUUUUUCAAUUUUCUUUUCUGAAAUUUAAUCUCCUUGGGAAAAUGGUGUUUUGUGGGGAGGUGGGGAAUUUAAUUGAAAUGCAUACUUGGCUUUUCUUGUCUCUUUAACUGUUUGGUUUUCCUGAAUGGGAUGCAUUGAGUAGGGGAGGGAGGAGCUAGAGUGUAUUGAGCUAAUGUGAUUGAUGCAUUUUGAGGAUCGGUUCAAUUGUUUUAUUUGAUUGACAUCAUAUGUUGUUCUCUACAGUUGUCGGGUUUGAAAAUAACUUCGGAAUAAGAGUAAUCUCAAUGAUUAUAAGCUUUGAGGCCAAUCUUGAUUUAAAAAGCUGAGAGUGCAAAAGGAUAUAUUAGUAGAAAUAUUCUAAAACCUAGCUUCUCUCUCAUUGCGUGUGGUCCAUGGGCAUGAAUGAAGCAGGCCACUGUACAGAUCUGUCGUUCAUGCAACCAAGUUUUGAGGUUUAUUGUAAUAUGGGUCUCUUGGAAAGACCUUUGAUUCAUGUGAAGGUGUUUGUGAGGGGAUACUAAGGAAGAAAAUUUUACUUCUGCUGUCUCUUUGAAGGACCUUAAUUUGUGCUAGGUAAGCUAAGUGAGGCAGGGUUGGUGGUGGUGGGAUAUUGUUGAGUUUUUUCAUAUUUUAGAAAGCAAAUAGUUGGAGGGCGGUAAAUGAGCUAAGAGAGAGGGCAUCGUGCUUUGGAAGGGCAGAAGUCAGAGUUGUUUUUCAAGGCAUAUGAGGAAGCUAGGAUGUUGAGGGUCCUUGUCAAACUGACCAAUUGAUCCAAACCCAAUUGUCAAUUUUCUUUAUUUGAUUUAUAGUUUGGAGGGAUUGUACUGGAUUGAAAUAAGAAAUCUGAUACUUUGCUCAUUAAAACCUGCCAAAACUAGACCAAACUGACUUCCAUGACAAUUGAGAAAGAAUAUCAUUGAAGUUGAAUGUUUCAUUAGAGUUUUUUCGUUUUUUUUUUCUUUCUAUAGUUUAUUGCUUUUGUGUUAGGUUGUCUGUCCUUGUUGGUAAGCAUGAGCAAGUCUCACUUCAGGAAAUUUGGUUAUUAAAUAGUGACACAGUCAAGUUUAUUGUGUUUCUUGUGUCAGUCCUUGUUGAUUGUUUCUUAGCACCGUUUUCAUUUGUUGGUUUACGAAAUUAUCUUCAUUUGCGAUUUUUGCAUUUUAAAUUGCCCCUUUUGGGCCCAAAGCACUCUUUUGAGAGUUAGGGAUCUAUCAGGGUCCAUGGAUAUCCAAAUCUGGAAAAAAAUCUCGUCCCUACUUUAAUAUAUAUACUACUUCGUGCUGCAAGCUAGAUAAUGGUUGAUCUAUUUGCUCCAGCUUGAGGGUGAUGGUAGUGUUCUUAAAUUUUAUGUUUAUAUGCAUAUCUGUUAUGUGCUUAUAGAGCCAGAUUUAGGGUGCAGGAUCAGGGUUCGAUUGUGGGUCGCAUAUCUGAAAAUAUAAAUAUACUGCAAGAGGGACUAUAUGGGGUACUGUAUAUUGUAUAGAAGACUUCUCCUUGCACGCUUCAUUCUUCUUCCUGACACUUUUAUAUUUCAACUUAUGCACAAGGAAGUCUUUGUUCAAAACUUGACUUGAAAACGGUGCUAAGGUCCGUGAAGUGGGAACUUUACUACGAUCAUGUGUAAAAGCUGGAUUAUGUUCCAAAGGUUAGCAUAUUUUUUGUUCAAUGACCGCUGAGCAUAUAGUUGCCCUUGUUGAUUAGUUUAUUUUAUGGAGAACCGAUUUUAAACAGAAAAAAUAAUCAAGAAGAAAGACAUAAUUAACUGUAAAAUCAUACAGUUUUAAAGGAAAAGGACAAAAUAAUCAACAUUGUAACAUCACUCUUUGUUAUAGUUCAUUCUGUCAUUGCUUUAUAAUCCUUCAAUUUCUUUAGUAAUUUUUUCUUAGUUCGUAUAUAGCUUAGAUAGCAAUGGAUUUGCAAAGCCUUGGGGUACCUAAUAUGUCGCCGGCUAAGCCGUGGCAAUUUAAUUUGAUUGGCCAUGCACAUGUAUUAAGGCUAAACAGCCCUUCCGGUUGCUUAAGUGCAUGAAUAACUAGACUUUUUGUUUGCCGGCGCACGCAUUAUCAGUCAAUUAUUCAAUUAACAUUUCAACUUGCGUGGCAAGGCAAUAAAUGAACUAGUUUCUGUUGAACUUUUGAUUAUUGGUUGAAGAAAGUAGAAACGUCUGUGAAACCCUUUUUGAGUUGUACUAUUGACACCUCUUUUAAUCUUCUCAUGAAACUUUUUUUUUAAUCAUAUUUAUUUUAUUUUUGAAAAUAAAAUAUUUUUCAUUUUAUUUUUUUAUUGUUAAAACUUAAAGUAAUUUUUUAUUAUUUUAUUGUUAUCCUACAUAAAAAAAAAAUUUCUAGGUAAUGAACUUUUUAAUGUUAAUUAUUAGUUUGAAUAACACAUAUUGUAAGAUUGUAGUUUGAAAGUAAUCUUAAGUAUAAAAAUAUUUAAUCAAUAAAAAAUAAAAAAAUAAAUUAUUCUAAAUUUAUAUAAUUUAUUUUAGUUAGAUAGGAAGUAACAAAUACAAAAUUAAAAAAAAUAACUAUAAAUGUAAAUAACUUAUUGAAAAAAUUAAUAUGUGUUUAAUUCUUACUUAUCCUCAUACUACAAUUUUAUUUAAAUUUUCUUAAUUUGUAUAAUUUAUUUCUCUCACCUCUUUUCCCAUGUCACGUGGGGUCCAAUUGGUUGAUAGGCUGGUGGAUGAAGCAGAUGGGACCCCCCAUCGUUUCCCAGGACUUUAAAAUCAUAUUCUAGGAUCUAGAUUUAGCAAAUGAAAAAAUAAAAAAAUAAAAAAAUUACAAUCAUUCCCACUAAAUUUUGCCCCUCUUCUCGUCGUCGGUUUUCUCGCUUUCUGAAUUUUGUUUAUACAAAAAUGUUCACAAUUGGCUGUCGCUCGACUCGAUAAAGAGAAAAUGACCAAAUACCGCUUCAGUUACUACACUAUUCUCUAUUAUCUAAUUCUAAGUUGUAACUCAGCAUGAGCAAAGGGGACUUAAUUUUUUUUUUUAAAAAAAAAAUUCCAAUUAAUAAAGCAGUUCAUCAUCUUCUUCUUCUUCUUCUUCGAUCUACGUGCUCCCUUGAUAUCCGUGGUUGUCUAGAAUAUCCAUCCCUCCAUCCAUAGCAUCCGAUUCUCUCAUCUAAAUUACAAUUCAUUUGGCCUGGCUUCAUUCAAGAAUCAUGCUCUCUAAAAUAAGAAUAAAGAAAGUUAAAAGUUGUAUUAAAAAAAAAAAAAGAAGGUUAAAAGUUGAUUUUCUGUUGUCGCGUGGCGUGUGAAUUGCUAGACAAUAUCGGUAGUAGUGCGAUCGGACCGUACAUCUGGCAGCGACUGCGACUGAGAAGAAAUCCAAGCCAACCAUCUCGACACAAGCCCUGCGUGUCGCUGUCUAUGAUUAUUUCUGUUACUCAUAGUAAUUCUACUGCUAUAACUCUCCCCGCUGUUGGAAAACCUGCUCAAUCCCGUGAUUUCCGACACGCUUCUCGAAUUUAUUACACCGCUGCCAUUCGCACUCCCACCACCAUCAAUGCCAGUGCUGCUGCUAGUGCGAUGCUGCAGCGCCAGCGGUACAAGCAUUUGCUGUUGUCUUUUCACUGACGGCCGCGAUGAUCCCGAAGCAAAUCUACGGCUAUCACUGAGCAACAUCUCUGACCGCAGAUACAGCAGAUCCGACGGCUGUACGUCACUCCACCUACGGCUGAACCCACCGCCGGCACCGGCGCCUGCCGAAAUAAUUAUCCGGUGCUCAAAUCUCCUCUCGGAGCUCUUCCUAUCGGCCGUCAAUCCAUCGGUCAACAACAAAGCAUUGUUGUUCCUGGAAGUGAAAUCCCAGAGUGGUUCGAGUAUCAGAAUAAUGAGGGUUCUUCAAUAACAAUAAGCACGCCUCCAAAGACGUAUAAGAAUAAUAAGCUUGUGGGAUAUGCUAUGUGCUGUGUUUUUCAUGUCCCUAAAUAUUCACUUCCUUUUUAUAUACGACCGCUUCCAUAUCCCGUACAUUAUCUGUGUGCCAUGCCUACUGACGGGUAUGGUUAUGGAAUUUCGUUUGGAAAGCAAUUCGGUCAGGCUGUGUCAAACCAUCUUUGGCUAUACUACCUGAAUAGGGAAGAGUUGUGGCGAUACUACCAUAAUAUUUGUAAAGUGAAAUUUGAUUCGCCGUCGGGAUUGGAGUUGAAGAGGUGUGGUUUGCAUCCAAUCUAUGUGCAUGAAGGGGAUAAGUUCAACCAAACAAGAGAUCCGGUUUGGAAUUUGAACGAAUUCGGUCACGAUUGUUUAGGUUCAACAUCCUUUACGCGUAGCCUUAAUGAUGACUUAGACAGGGCAGAAGCCGGUGGAAGUUGCUGCGGGGAUGAUGUAGGAUCAACAACGUCGUCUGAGCGAAGCUUUCUAAAGCGAAGUCUUGAAGAAUAUGUUGGGGCGGCUGAAGCUAGUGGAAGUGGCUGCUGUAAUGAUGAUGAGGAACCACAACCUAAAAGAUUUAGACAACUCGAAUGAAGGGCACAAAUUUUAUUUUUCUCUGCAGAUCGCAUUUCAUUUACUUUCUUUGUAUUUAUUUAUUGUAUCUGUUCUUGUUACUUAUUUCCCUGUUAAAUUACCAGAAAAUGCCUGGCUUGGGUCAAACAGUUGGACAGAUGUUUUAUUACUCUGUUUUUUCUGCAAAAGAUGCCGUACAUAGAUGCGGUGAGCGCGAGUUGUUUGGUAUACUUGAAGGGGCUCGGGACCACAAUGACUAAUUAUUUAAUGUUGUGUGUUAAAUAUUAAAAUAUGCGGAUAGCUUAUCACUUUUGAGACCUAAAGAGUCAUUGAUACUCUGUUUUUUCAACCUAAAAGUAUUUAUUUAAUGUUAGGGUGAUUGAAAAAAAAUUGACGAAUUACCAUUAAACAAGCAACAAAAUA
rnacentral:lncRNA from 1 species